CCCACCACUGUUCUCAGACUGCUAAGGACCCAUCAGCCCUUUUUUGCCAUCCUCUCAGCCUGUUACUAGUGUUGACAAUUUCAGCAAGAAUCCUGAGAGGUGUCCUCAAUUCCAUUCCUGUCUUCCUAAUCCCCAGACCUGAAUGAAAUCCACCAUGCAGUUCUUUCUGUUUCUGCUCCAAAGCAGAAGAUAAUUCUGGAGAAAAUUAGGAAUCUGAGCCAAGCCAAUGUCAGCUGCCUGGUUCCAGCUGAGUCCUCACUACCAAAGUCAAUUCUCUGAUUUUUCAGUCAAGAUGGUCCUUUCAGAGGGAUACAUCCUUAGGGAAGAGAAGUAGACGGUGGCAGUUAAUUGCUC